UCUGUCUCAUCCAGUUUCUUCUCUUCUGCAGUGCUCCAGCAGUGAAGUCAGCAAUUUUACAAUCCCCUGCCUUGGACCAGGAAAGUCAUUUAUGGCCGGCAAGUGGAUGUAAAAUGCAAAUGACUAGUCUGAAAUGGUCAGAGGAUCCACAGGGAUGAAAGUGCUCUGAAGAUAGGAAGAAUAUACACCUGGCAGAGUAAUGACCUGAGAGAUUUGAAAGAGC